rnacentral:rRNA from 1 species
UACGUAGGGAGCGAGCGUUGUCCGGAAUUACUGGGUGUAAAGGGUGCGUAGGCGGCCUUGCAAGUCAGGCGUGAAAACCAUGGGCUCAACCCGUGGACUGCGUUUGAAACUGUGAGGCUUGAGUGGAGUAGAGGUAGGUGGAAUUCCCGGUGUAGCGGUGAAAUGCGUAGAGAUCGGGAGGAACACCAGUGGCGAAGGCGGCCUACUGGGCUUUAACUGACGCUGAGGCACGAAAGCAUGGGUAGCAAACAGG